rfam:Asian citrus Psyllid, Diaphorina citri - Florida Strain, whole genome shotgun sequence.
UAUAGCAGUGAUAGCACGUUGAACGUACCAGUUCCCAAAGGUUCACUGAAGUUCAGCAACGGUGCACGUGGUUGGUAUCCGGAUAGGUGACCAUCUGGGCAAUCGCUUUCUACUGGCU